UACGUAGGGGGCAAGCGUUGUCCGGAAUCAUUGGGCGUAAAGAGCGUGUAGGCGGCUCGAUAAGUCCGCUGUGAAAGUCCAGGGCUCAACCCUGGAAGGCCGGUGGAAACUGUCGGGCUAGAGUCCGGAAGAGGCGAGUGGAAUUCCCGGUGUAGCGGUGAAAUGCGCAGAUAUCAGGAGGAACACCGAUUGCGAAGGCAGCUCGCUGGGACGUAACUGACGCUGAGACGCGAAAGCGUGGGGAGCAAACAGG
rnacentral:rRNA from 1 species